CUUGACAAACCUCCCGUUCUGAAACAGAAAACCUACAGUUUCCCUCAUUUCAGGGUUAACAUACUCAGAGUUUUCACUUAACGUCCUUUGUGAAACAGGCCCCGGGCGGUUUCUGAACCAAUGCUUAGAAACAAAGAUUCAAAAAUGAUUCGAAGCCUCAUGAAUACUCGAAAGCGGCUCUCGGUGAUCCCUGGAGCCACCGCUGGGGGCAGUAGAGCGCUGCCGGGGCUCACCGCUGGGGGCAGUAGAGCGCUGCCGGGGCUCACCGCUGGGGGGCAGUAGAGCGCUGCCGGGGCUCUGCUUGAGAUCAAAACGGAAGAAGACUCACUCCGUCCAUGUGCGCUUCGAGCAGCGGUGAGGGUCGAAGAUUGGCAGCAACAAGUCGAAGUGGACGAGACCGGAGUCACGUGUAGGAUUCAUCACAGCACGUGUUCUGUUGGUGUGAUUAGUUAUUAAUAAUGAGAUCUGGGGAAUAACUUGUUCUCGUCUGUUAUGGUGUGAGACUUACAUUUUGUAGUUCUGUUCUGUGAAAUCCAAUAAAUGUUUUUUUUUUCAACAGUCAUUCUGUUACUUGGUUACUCGGAUGCUUCAUCCAAUCGUGGGAAAACCUGAAAAUAUUGUCUAGUUUUAAUAGUUUUAGUGUUGUGACUCUUUAUGUUUUCUAAAAACUCCUAAUGAGUUUGCGAGCUAAAUAUGUAUUAAAGCAUCACAACAUCGUGUGGAGUAUAAUUACUACAGUAAUAACGAUGGACCCAUGGAGAACUUGGACAAAGAAAUGAGUCGAAUAGAGCUCAAAGAGUAUUAGCCAGAGGAUCUGAAUGAGUGUGAUCACUUGUGAUGAAUCUUAUUUU